rnacentral:rRNA from 1 species
AUUUUGGACAAUGGGGGAAACCCUGAUCCAGCCAUCCCGCGCGUAUGCUGAAGGCCUUCGGGUUGUAAAGUACUUUUGGCAGAGAAGAAAAGGUAUCCCCUAAUACGGGAUACUGCUGACUGUAUCUGCCGAAUAAGCACCGGCUAACUACGUGCCAGCAGCCGCGGUAAUACGUAGGGAGCAAGCUUUAAUCGGAAGUACUGGGCGUAAUGCGUGUGUAGGCGGGUCGGAAAGAAAGAUGGGAAAUCCAAGGGCUCAACCAUGGAAAUGCAUUUUUAACUGCCGAGCUAGAGUAGGUCAGAGGGGGGUAGAAGUCCACGUGUAGCAGUGAAAUGCGUAGAUAUGUGGAGGAAUACCGAUGGCGAAGGCAGCCCCCUGGGAUAAUACUGACGCUCAGACACGAAAGCGUGGGGAGCAAACAGG